rnacentral:rRNA from 1 species
UACAGAGGUCUCAAGCGUUGUUCGGAUUCAUUGGGCGUAAAGGGUGUGUAGGUGGCGCGCUAAGUCGGGUGUGAAAUUUCGGAGCUUAACUCCGAAACUGCAUUCGAUACUGGCGUGCUUGAGGACUGGAGAGGAGACUGGAAUUCAUGGUGUAGCAGUGAAAUGCGUAGAUAUCGUGAGGAAGACCAGUGGCGAAGGCGGAUCUCUGGACAGUUCCUGACGCUGAGGCACGAAGGCCAGGGGGAGCAAACGGG